UACGUAGGAUGCAAGCGUUGUCCGGAAUUAUUGGGCGUAAAGCGAACGUAGGCGGUUUCUUAAGAUUGGUCUUAAAGACCGGGGCUCAACCUCGGGAAUGGAUCGAUAACUGGGAGACUGGAGGACGUCAGAGGAAAGUGGAAUUCCGAGUGUAGCGGUGAAAUGCGUAGAUAUUCGGAGGAACACCAGUGGCGAAAGCGACUUUCUGGGACGUUCCUGACGCUGAGGUUCGAAAGCUCGGGGAGCAAACAGG
rnacentral:rRNA from 1 species